UACGGAAGGCAGCAGUGGGGAAUAUUGCACAAUGGGCGAAAGCCUGAUGCAGCUAUGCCGCGUGUAUGAAGAAGGCCUUAGGGUUGUAAAGUACUUUCAUCGGGGAGGAAAAACAAAACUAAUAAUUUUAUUUCUUGACGUUACCCGAAAAAGAAGCACCGGCUAACUCCGUGCCAGCAGCCGCGGUAAUACGGAGGGUGCUAGCGUUAAUCAGAAUUACUGGGCGUAAAGAGCACGUAGGUGGUUUUUUUAAAGUCAGAUGUGAAAUCCCUGGGCUUAACCUAGGAACUGCAUUUUGAAACUGAAAUACUAGAGUAUCGUAGAGGGAGGUAGAAUUCUAGGUGUAGCGGUGAAAUGCGUAGAUAUCUGGAGGAAUACCUGUGGCGAAAGCGGCCUCCUAAACGAAUACUGACACUGAGGUGCGAAAGCGUGGGGAGCAAACAGGGAUUAGGAUACCCGU
rnacentral:rRNA from 1 species